AUUGCACGCUGGCGGCAGGCCUAACACAUGCAAGUCGAGCGGAUGAAGGGAGCUUGCUCCUGGAUUCAGCGGCGGACGGGUGAGUAAUGCCUAGGAAUCUGCCUGGUAGUGGGGGAUAACGUCCGGAAACGGGCGCUAAUACCGCAUACGUCCUGAGGGAGAAAGUGGGGGAUCUUCGGACCUCACGCUAUCAGAUGAGCCUAGGUCGGAUUAGCUAGUUGGUGGGGUAAAGGCCUACCAAGGCGACGAUCCGUAACUGGUCUGAGAGGAUGAUCAGUCACACUGGAACUGAGACACGGUCCAGACUCCUACGGGAGGCAGCAGUGGGGAAUACUGGACAAAGGGCGAAAGCCUGAUCCAGCCAUGCCGCGUGUGUGAAGAAGGUCUUCGGAUUGUAAAGCACUUUAAGUUGGGAGGAAGGGCAGUAAGUUAAUACCUUGCUGUUUUGACGUUACCAACAGAAUAAGCACCGGCUAACUUCGUG
rnacentral:rRNA from 1 species